GCCCAUGUUGCUCAGUGGUUAGAGUGUCAGCCUGUGCACUGAAGGGUCACGGGUUUGAUUCCCAGUCAAGGGCA
rnacentral:tRNA from 1 species